rnacentral:misc_RNA from 1 species
UUCAAAGAUGCACUUGUCUUUUCAUCUAGCCCAUGAAUAAAGCUCUCUGUGGGGCUCAUAACUCUGCCAAAUGGCAUUGGAAAUUCAAUGUCGCCCCACUUCUUGAAGUUCUUGAAAGCAGCAGUGUCAUCCAGCUCGCCUCUCAUAUCCAAGGGAUAAGGUUUUCCAUUUACCAAAGUGAAAGGAUUCAUCUCAAGGAAAGUAAAGUCAAGAUCUUGAAAUAAAGCAAAAACUGAUUUAAUAAACUCCUCAAUUUCUUGUUUUAUCUCCAAUGGAAGGGUUGCAACAAGUGGAGCGCAUGUUUCUGAUGUAAAUGAUGACCCUGUUGGAACAUAUAUAGUCUUAACCUUAUCCCAAUUCUCUUCAAUUUCAAUUCCUCCACAAUCUGAAAAGCUUAUGCUGCACCCAAGUCGCUCCGAGACAAUAUUAAGGUAAAACUCCUCAUUGUGGGGGAUGAAAGGUUCAACAAUGAAUGUUGUU